rnacentral:lncRNA from 1 species
AGUCAGAAUCUUGCUCUGUCGCCAGGCUGGAGUACAGUGGCGCGAUCUCGGCUCACUGCAACCUCUGCCUCCCAGGUUCAAGCGAUUCUCCUGCCUCAGCCUCCCGAGUAGCUGCGACUGCAGGUGUCAGAUGUGUACCGUGUUCUGAAGACUCUCCCCACCUUCUCCAGCACCCUCCCCCUUUGUCCUUCACAGGCAUUUCCUCCAAUCAGUCUUUCGUCUUCUGCUUCAUGGAAGACCUGACGGACACAGACAACUCAUCUUUACAUCCUCCAUGCCUGGGACAUUGGCAGGGAUUCUGCAGCAGUGAUGAAGAGCAUGGACACAAAUCAUAACCCGGGACUUGUUCCAUGGGUAGCCUUGAGAGCAGGUGACUUCAACCUCUCUGAAACCGAGUUUGAGGUCCUCAUCUAUUAAGUGGUAUUGAUAUUAAUAGCUAUGUCUUACGGCUGUUUGAGAAUGAAUAAGUUAAUGCAUGAAUACGUUUAGCACAGUGCUUAAAAAUCACAAUAAAUAUCUAAUACAAUAUAACUAGCUGCAUUGGAUGCACUAAGUAUUCUACACAUGUGUUAGUGCUGCAAACUGCCUGGUGCUGGUAGCUGCAAUGGUCACAGGACUGUCAGGCUGUGUCCCCCACCACAACCCCUGACACACACACACUCAAUUCUCUCAAACAUAGGCUGCUGAAGGUGACUUCAGCACCAUAAACUUAGCUGGGCCAUUUCUGGGAGACUGUCUAGGUCUCUGUGAAUUCUGCCUCCUUUUUGAUAUUGCUGAUAUAGUUUGGAUGUGUGUCCCCUCUAAAUCUCAUGUUGAAUUAUCAUCUGCAGUGUUGGAGGUAGGGCUAGUGGGAGGUGAUUUCUCACAAAUGGUUUAGCACCAUCUCCUUGAUGCCAUCCUCAGGAUAGUGAGUGAGUUCUUGUGAGAUCUGGUUGUUUAAAAGUCUGUAGGAUCUUCCCCCUCACUCUCUCUCUCUUGCAUCCCCUCUCGCCAUGUGAUAUGCUGGCUUCCCCUUUGCCUUCCACCAUGGAUAGGAAGCUUCCUGAGGCC